UGGCGACCGGCGCACGGGUGCGUAACACGUAUCCAAUCUACCCAUGGCUCGGGAAUAGCCUUUCGGAAAGAAAGAUUAAUGCCCCGAUGGUCUGUGUUUGAGACAUCUCGACCACAGUAAAGAUUUAUCGGCGAUGGAUGAGGAUGCGUCUGAUUAGGGUAGUAGGCGGGGUAACGGCCCACCUAGCCGACGAUCAGUAGGGGUUCUGAGAGGAAGGUCCCCCCACAUUGGGAACUGAGACACGGUCCAAACUCCUACGGGAGGCAGCAGUGAGGAAUAUUGGUCAAUGGACGAGAGUCUGAACCAGCCAAGUAGCGUGAGGGACGACUGCCCUAUGGGUUGUAAACCUCUUUUGUUUGGGAAUAAAGUGAGUCACGUGUGGCUUUUUGUAUGUACCAUACGAAUAAGCAUCGGCUAAUUCCGUGCCAGCAGCCGC
rnacentral:rRNA from 1 species